GGACAGACAGACAGACGGACAGAGAGGGGUCAGUGAGGUGUAGGGGACACAGGAGAGGCUGCAGUGUGAGGGACAGAGGGGACAGGGGGACAGAGGGGACAGGGGACAGCGAUGAUGUGGAUGUGGUCGCUCUCCUUGGACAUGGGCUCCACGUCCUGCAGGGACAGACAGACAGACGGACAGAGAGGGGUCAGUGAGGUGUGGGGGACACAGAGGGGACAGUGCCCAGUGACGCUGCUCAGUGAGGCGUCGAUGUGGGUGUGGUCACUCUCCUUCCACGUGGGCACAGGUGCCCCAGACUUGGUGAGAGAAGUGCCCCAGGUACCCCCCAGACUGUGCCCAGGUGCCCCUCAGUGUCCAGGUGCCUCUACCUGCUGGCAGGGCUGCCAGGUGCCCCUCCCACAGUGCCCAGGUGCCCCUCAGACAAUGCCCAGAUGCCUCAGGUGCCCCUCAGACAAUGCCCAGAUGCCUGUACCUGCUGGCAGAGCUGCCAGGUGCCCCUCCCACAGUGCCCAGGUGCCCCUCAGACGGUGCCCAGGUGCCCCUCAGACAGUGUCCAGGUGCCUCAGGUGCCCCUCCCUCAGUGCCCAGGUGCCCCUCAGACGGUGCCCAGGUGCCUCAGGUGCCCCUCCCACAGUGCCCAGGUGCCCCUCAGACAGUGCCCAGAUGCCUCAGGUACCCCUCAGAUGGUGCCCAGGUGCCUGUACCUGCUGGCAGAGCUGCCAGGUGCCCCUCCCACAGUGCCCAGGUGCCCCUCAGACAAUGCCCAGGUGCCCCUCAGAA